rnacentral:rRNA from 1 species
GUGGGGAAUCUUAGACAAUGGGCGCAAGCCUAAUCUAGCCAUGCCGCGUGAGCGAUGAAGGCCUUAGGGUUGUAAAGCUCUUUCAGGGGGGAAGAUAAUGACGGUACCCCCAGAAGAAGCCCCGGCUAACUCCGUGCCAGCAGCCGCGGUAAUACGGAGGGGGCUAGCGUUGUUCGGAAUUACUGGGCGUAAAGCGCACGUAGGCGGACCAGAAAGUCAGGGGUGAAAUCCCGGGGCUCAACCCCGGAACUGCCUUUGAAACUCCUGGUCUUGAGGUCGAGAGAGGUGAGUGGAAUUCCGAGUGUAGAGGUGAAAUUCGUAGAUAUUCGGAGGAACACCAGUGGCGAAGGCGGCUCACUGGCUCGAUACUGACGCUGAGGUGCGAAAGCGUGGGGAGCAAACAGGAUUAGAAACCCGGGUAGUCC